UUGCAACAAUUAGGCUUACUCCAAGGUAUCGAGUGGAUGCUCCGUAAAGCCGAUUUAACCUUCCUUUGCACUCAUAACCAACCCACCUACCCUUCCCUAACCUUAGAAUUCCUAAGUUCUUACGACUACACCACUCCCGCCGGUGAAGGUGAAUUUCUAACCGGUACGGCAACCUUCCGUAUGUUUAACACCGAGUACUCUCUAACCCAACGCGAAUUGAGUGCCAUGCUACAAUUUCC
rnacentral:lncRNA from 1 species